rnacentral:lncRNA from 1 species
UGCUAUAAAGGAGACCAAAAGAGGACCCCCAAGAUGGUAUGCAAUAACUCUACCUCUUAUGCUCCUCCUUCUGUUGGAUGAGAUUUUGACUUGAGCAUUAGAGGAUCCUCGUUGGAACCAUCUCCGACUUGAAUAUUUUUGCAGGUCGCAUGCAUGGGAGGCCCACCUUAUCAUCAACUCUAGUGUCCCAACAUCAAGCAAUUUCUCACACCAAUAGAUUGGCAUUGGAGGAAGUGCAUUGAUCCAUUUUUGGAGGAGCG